rnacentral:rRNA from 1 species
UAACAAGGAUUCCCCUAGUAACUGCGAGUGAAGCGGGAAAAGCUCAAAUUUAAAAUCUGGCGGUCUUCUGGCCGUCCGAGUUGUAGUCUGGAGAAGCGUUUUCCGCGUUGGCCCGUGUACAAGUUUCCUGGAACGGAGCGUCAUAGAGGGUGAGAAUCCCGUCUUUGACACGGACCCCAAUGCUUUGUGAUGCGCUCUCAAAGAGUCGAGUUGUUUGGGAAUGCAGCUCAAAAUGGGUGGUGAAUUCCAUCUAAAGCUAAAUAUUGGCGAGAGACCGAUAGCGAACAAGUACCGUGAGGGAAAGAUGAAAAGCACUUUGGAAAGAGAGUUAAACAGUACGUGAAAUUGUUGAAAGGGAAACGCUUGAAGUCAGUCGCGUCGUCCGGGACUCAGCCUUGCAUCCGCUUGGUGUACUUUCCGGUCGACGGGCCAGCAUCAGUUUUGACCGCGAGAUAAAGGCGGAGGGAAUGUGGCUCUUUCGGGAGUGUUAUAGCCCUUCGUCAGAUGUCGCGGUUGGGACUGAGGAACUCAGCACGCCUUUAUGGCCGGGGUUCGCCCACGUACGUGCUUAGGAUGCUGGCGU